UGGUGUAGUGGGGGCAGGCCAGCAGGAGCAGAGCCCAAGUCCUAGCUGGCCUCUUCCCACCUUCAG
ensembl:miRNA Mir7085 microRNA 7085